rnacentral:rRNA from 1 species
AACGAACGCUGGCGGCAUGCCUAACACAUGCAAGUCGAACGAGACCUUCGGGUCUAGUGGCGCACGGGUGCGUAACGCGCGGGAACCUGCCCUUAGGUUCGGAAUAACUCCCCGAAGGGGGUGCUAAUACCGGAUAAUGUCUUCGGACCAAAGAUUUAUCGCCUUUGGAUGGGCCCGCGUUGGAUUAGCUAGUUGGUAGGGUAAAAGCCUACCAAGGCGACGAUCCAUAGCUGGUCUGAGAGGAUGAUCAGCCACACUGGGACUGAGACACGGCCCAGACUCCUACGGGAGGCAGCAGUGGGGAAUAUUGGACAAUGGGCGAAAGCCUGAUCCAGCAAUGCCGCGUGAGUGAUGAAGGCCUUAGGGUUGUAAAGCUCUUUUACCCGGGAUGAUAAUGACAGUACCGGGAGAAUAAGCUCCGGCUAACUCCGUG